UACGUAGGUGACCAGCGUUGUCCGGAUUUACUGGGCGUAAAGAGCGCGCAGGCGGUCGUUCAAGUCGAGUGUGAAAGCCCCCGGCUCAACUGGGGAGGGUCACUCGAUACUGAUCGACUCGAAGGCAGGAGAGGGUAGUGGAAUUCCCGGUGUAGUGGUGAAAUUCGUAGAUAUGGGGAGGAACACCGGUGGCGAAGGCGGCCACCUGGACGGUAACUGACGCUGAGACGCGAAAGCGUGGGGAGCAAACAGG
rnacentral:rRNA from 1 species